GGCAGGAAGGUUAGGCCACUGGCAAAGUCCUCAGCGAGAGCCAGCUGAUCACAAAUGCCAACUGUGUGUCUUGGGGCCAGUUAAGUCCUCUCGUCUGCCCAAGCUCUCAGGACACCAUUUCAUUGCUCUCAGGGUUCCCAGGAGACUGCUGCGGACACGGACCAUCCCCCACUUGGCCCGCAUGGAUGGGGUGCUGAGCAGCGUCUUCAAAGUGCUCUUUCUCACCUCAAGUUUCCAUUUUAAAUAGUAAAAUGCUGGAGCUAGGAGAUAGGCAGAUAUUUUUCUCUCAUAUCAAAAAAGGAAGACCGUAAGCUAGGUGAUUAGCUGUAAGUGGGAAGCGAACUAUCAUCUCCAGUAGGAAUACUCACUUUUUGAGGAAGUGUGUGGAAGUUCUGCAGUCCCACCUUGCCCUAUGACCUUUAAUUCUCUUAGUUCUUCUGCCACAGGGAAGCACCGAACGACUAAUAAAAGAUUUGAUCUUGCCAUAAUUUCCCAAGCAGGGAUCAACAAAUUGAUAAAGCAAACUCAGAGGCCACAUCUUAUUAGACAGCAAGCUGCCUUCUUCUUUAUUAUGGGAGAAUCUUCAGUGGGCACUAUCCCUGCCUGGAGACCAACUGAGGUAGAGAAUUCUAGAAGUUUACACCAUAUCUUGAUUGUUAUCUGGAUGUUUGAACUUCUGGAUAUUUCUGUCCGAGGAAUACCCAGGAGAAGAUUCCUCUCCCCAUACACACCUGUGAUUUUCAAGUCCUUUUAUUCAUGCCUUUAAAUGAAAGGGUUGAGUAUACAAGAAUAUCAAUAAGUUCCAAUUGAAGAGCGGAUUCUUUUGCAAUUCAGGCAUGUGCCGGCGAUAACGGGCGAGUUGGCAUGAAGAGAGGCAGAGAUGGAUUAAUUAUGCAGAGAACAUGGAAAUUCUGCUUAUCAUCGGCUAGCAAAGGAGCCCGGCUCACAUAAUCAGCAAACGAAGGGAGAGGAAAAAAUAACAAUGCAAUGGCACCUUCCAGCCCAUCAUCAGGAUUUUUUCUACCCCCCUUGUAAUUAAAAAAUAACAUACACUUAUAGCCCUAUCUCCUGUGCAGGCAAGGAGUGGAUGUCCACAAAAUAAUUGCACUGGGAUAUUAGAGCUGGCAACACAGGCUGUCCAUUCCUGCUUGCUCUCCUGCUCACCCUCUUUCUCUUUUGGCCUCUCAAGGCACUUUGCUUCUGAAUCCAGUCCAAAUCAGUCGAUGUCUCAGGUGACAUUCUAGCUCGGUUUCCAAAAAUCCCAAAUUGGUACCUUAUCAUGAUCCAAGCAAACAUACAUACAUAUAUGAUAAAUAUUUGAAGGGCUGACUCUGGGGGAGACUUUGGAACUGAUCACCUGUGGACUAUCUGGUCAAUUUCAUUUUUGAUGAAACAUGUCCAAACAGCCUUCAUUUUGCAAAGUGACUGGAUUAAAAUGGUGGGCCGUGCUAUCUUCUCAAUUGAUUUCUCCUAUUUACAACUUUUUUGCACCUAUUUCCUUUGCCAACUUAUUUUAUAAAUUCAAGGGUACACAGUUAAUUAUUGAGAUGUUUUGCCUUCAAAUCAGAAUUCGGAAUUCUAUAGUGUCACUAUAAAAUACGAUAGCUCAGUGCUUUGUAUUUCUCUAGAAGCCCAAAGACACUAUACUAAACCUAGUUCAUUGCUUAAAAGAAAACAGAAUUAAAUCUUAACGUUUGUAUCCAUGUGUCUCCCAAUUCCAAGAAUUAAAAUGCAAACACGUAUGUUAAGUAAUGAUACUCCUGAUUGAAUGCCAUUGAAGUAGUUUUUUUUCUGUUUUAAUUGCCAACCAAGUAAUUUGACCUAAUUACAGACAUAAGCCCCCAGAAACUAUGACCAUGAAGAGAGACCAUUUCUUCCGGCAAAGUUACUGGUGAGCUACAGAAACAGAAAGAUGAAAAUAAAUCUGGAAAGACAAAAAUUAUGCAACAUAU
rnacentral:lncRNA from 1 species